AUAUAGAAGAAAUGAAGAUAAGAAAAAGAAUGUUGAAACAGAUGGACAGAAAUAUUCUGAUAGAUUGGAUUAGAAAGUAUGUAAGAACAUAAAAAAGAAGUGCAAUUGAGAUUAUUAACUGUGUGCCACGAGCCAUCAUCUGUUAAGCAUUACUGUAUUUGUUCAUAAACAGUUAUAAUGAUAAAAUAUCCAAAACAACAUUCAGCAUUGUAUUAAACUAUUAAAUUAGAUACAGAUUUAUAUUGUUGCUUUCAAUCUUAAGCAGUCACCAAAGAGACAAUCUGCCUCAAUAUUUAAAAGGGAUAUAAAGACAUAGAUGCAUAAUACAAUAAGUAUGGGAGUUUUUCUGCACCAUUUCAACAGCCAUCUAUAGUUUUUAAAUAAACAGUAGUAUUUCUUAAUUUAAAACUUCCAGUACAUUAUAUGCUUUCUUUUUUAAUAUCUAGAGAAAACGAGGAGCCCAGUGAUUUUAUGUUAUGAAGUGCAAAGAUUGCUGAACUACCAGGGCUCUGAUGCUCAUACAGCAAACGGACAUUUCUUUGCCAAUACUUGCUCUGUGGGUGUCUAGGCACCAAAGGUUCCCACUUUCAGAAUUACUGUGAAGUUUUUUCUAUUUACAGUGAUGACAACAGGAAUGUUCUCAAUAAAGUAAUACAAGAAAACUGGCUAAAAGCAUGCCAUAUUUCAUAUUUUUCCAACAUCACCAGAAGUUUUUGUUCCUGCUACUCAUUUCAGGUCUAUGAGAGCUUGUGGGAGGAAGGAAAUCAUGAUGUGACUCCAGUGCUACUGCUGUCUGUAUUGUAUUGAUCUUCUGAGUGCCAGGAAAGUCUAAAAAGUCAGUGUGCCAAACAUGGUGCAAAAAAAGGCUUAAACAUUUUAAGCAAAAAUGCUGGAAAAGCAGCUUACCAUUGGAAGGGACUUCUUACUUGUGGUUUAGAAGAGCUGAAGUCAGGGAUUUUCAUUAAAUGGAAAGGGCAUGAUAAACAUCCUCCUCCAAAGAGGCAGACAAAAUGCCAGCAUUUCCCUGAAGUGAACACCACUCUUUACAAUAGAAGCAUGAAGUCAGGACUUUAAAAAAAGGUCCAGUUCCUCUGUGAUUUCUCCUUUCAGGAGGCCCCCUGCUCUCCUACUGGUGAGUUAUAAAUAAGCCCUUCAUGGCACGGACUAAGUUACGUUCACCAUCUGUCUCCUCUUUGUGAUCUACUUGCAGGGAAGACUCCUUUAUAUAAGAAAAUCAAAUUGAGAGAGUUGGAAACUCACUGCUCACAGCCAAAGCACCGAGCAGAGGCAAACACAGUCCACAGCACUGUGUUCAAACACAGCAUUGAAAUAUUUAACAAAAUAUUAAACAGAACAGGGGAGGGGAAUGGUCAUCAUUUAUGUCCUCCCUGUAACUGGUCUGGAAUGGCAGUACCAGUUGUUGUACCAAAUCACAGAUACUGAAGUAGAUGCUAAAAUUAUCGUGCAGAGGGGAAGAUCCUGAGCUGGCUUCACUGAAGCCAGUGAGUUAUGACAAUUAAUACCAGCUGUCUAAA